GGGCUGGGGCUCAGCGGUAGAGCGCUCGCCUAACGUGCAGGGCCCUGGGCUCGAUCCUCAGCACCACA
rnacentral:tRNA from 1 species